UUUGGGAAGGAAUAUAAACCCACCUUCCUUAGGAAAUGUCAACAGCUUUCAGAGAAGUAUAGAAAAAUGUGUUUUUCUUAUUAUAUUCCCUAUCUAUUUGUUGCAAACUUCCAAUAUUUUCUUCAGUACCACCGUGCAGUAGAUCUUCUCAAAGCUGGCAGAGUGAGGCUUCCCUCCGUGCAGCCCUCGCAGUGCAGAGACACAGCGGGCAGCCCACGGGCUACGCACAAUUUUACAGAUGCCUUAGCCAAGACAACCAACUCAUCACAGUGGAGGGUGGAGCUACACCUGGCACCACAACCUCUGUUCUGAAGCAUCGACAAGCUCAGUGCACCAGAGAACCAAAGUCUGAGAGAGGCACCACGCAUGUUGCUGAUGGUCCCCAAAGAUUGGUCCUUCUGAAGCUGAGGGACAUUGGGAAGAACUCAUCCUGUCUGCUUGGUCUGGAAACAUAAAACAUAAACUAACUGAACACUCUCAUGUGGAAUUGGAUACAUCAACAGGAAAAGAUGGAUAACUUCACUUUUCGUACUGUAAUUUGGUACUGAGGAAUGGAAUGAGCAAAGAUGCAAGUUAUUUAGCUGUUCAGAUCUGCUAAAUGAAAAAUAAUCACUUCCAACAAAGAAGGGACAUUAUUAGCUACUCACAACAUAUGCUUUUGCAGAUUAUUAUCAUUCCAGCAACCUUUCUAUUAAUUUGUUUCACUGACUAUCAUCUGGACAGAAAGCGAUCUCUGAUAUUCUCCAAAUUCAUCAAGGUGCUCCUGGAGUAAUCAUUUCUCUCUUAUAGUUUGAGUGCUCCACUCAGCUAGCACAUUUGUCAUGACUGACACCAGGCUACGAAACCUUACGGCUCUCCAUGAGGUGUCUAAAAGCAAGAAGAACUUCCACGCGCCGUGAGGCACUCAAUGAGCUACAAGUCAAUAAAGUGCGUUAACUCUUGCACUGUCACAGGGAGAGAGACGCUGUAGACCUCAACAGUGUUCCAUUGCCUUUGGGCUUGGGUGUUCCCUCUGAUACUUGGAGAGUAUUUCACAAAACGGACACCAGACGGUACGGAUAAUCAGAACUUCUCUUCCAAAGCUUGGAGCAAUCUUUGACACGAUUAGCCCUGCUGAUGUAACCCAAGGAAUCCUUAUGAAACUUGGGAAACGUUCAAGGACACGUGCUCAUACACAAUAAAAUCCCACAGAUGCAAUAAAAGCGAUGCAGGGCAAACUGCCCUCAUAGUUGGAAAGCAGUAUGGGAACGAGAGCGAUAAGCGAAGCAAAGCCAAACGGAGCAAGGACAAGGCAGUGCCUGGUGGGCAGGGACAGCGUUUCUUAAAAAUGAAAUACGAGGCCUUUGCAGGAGAUAGAUCACAUGGAAAAUGCAGAUGUAUCCAGCAGGUAUCUUUUUGCUGUUGUAGGUGGAAUGAGAGUUUUAUCUCUGUCAGCAAGACAGAUGUGAGAUAGUAUCUGCUGAAAUCAAACACCACAGAUGAAAGGAUACAAGCGUCCCAAAGGACAAUAUUGAGGAGGUGCGUGUGUCAAUGCAAGUCAGCAUACAAACCAAGAGGCAUUGGAUUGUUCAAAGGAGAGCAUUCCCUGCUCCGGUGUCUGCAGUGUCAGUAACACAAGAACCAUUUGUGGAUGUGCAGCAGCUAAUGUACCUCCUUUUUCUCAGAAAAAAAUGGAGAAUCACUUGUUCACAUGGGGCCCUGGGAAGAACCUGGCCUAAACCACAAACGAGCAAGGAAUGCCUGUGCAAAGCAGAAUGUAUUCUCUUGCCUGACAGAGCUAGAAAGAGCUAACGUGGAGAGCCAUGACCACCAGGCAAGGUGAGAGUGCAAGGAAAGUGGGAAAGAGUCUGCAGUGCGCAUGCAAGGAGAGGCUCCUUCAUAAAGACAGAUUACAAGAAAAUAAUUGUUUUGCUGCAUUUCUUACGUUCAUGAGGAUAUUCAGCCUAUGGCUCUGUGUGGACUUGACGAAGGUUGUGUCAGAGUCACUGAAUCAAAGCUUGGGGAAAGCCCUUACAAGAGCAAGCUGGAGAAAGGAAGAUAGGUGCAACCAAACGAGCAGGUGGAGGAUGGACAUGUUGAGACCUCUCUGACAGUGUGAGCCCUAAAAGUGGCAAAGAAGAGAAGGAAAAGGGCUGGAAUAAGUACAGUAAAUGCCAGGUGUUCCAGGAGAGAGGAGUUUUAAAUUUAUUAAGUAUUUUACAAAAAAUGAAAUCUUAGAAAUGUGUGGAUUGCCUUUUUUUUUUUUUUUUCAUUUUCCAUUCCUAUUGUGUCACUGGAAUAGAAAGAAGCAAAAGGGAGAAAAGAGGAAAAAAAUUGAAGAUAAUAAAACAAAGAAAAGGGGAGAAUAAUACUAUAUAAUGGAAAAUAAUGUU